AGAUAUAAGGGUCACUGACUAGAAUAUCUUUCCUCCCAUUGUAGGCUGGGUUGAUUCAACUGGCUUGGAUGGCUAGGUGGGUGGGGUGUCCUUGCCCUUUCUGCUCCAUCAGGUGUUGUUCAUAAGUUGCAAAGAAUGACUUUCCCUGAUAGAGGUUCUUUGGCUAAUGGAAUAUGAAUAGCUACUCCCUCCUGUUAGAAUUUCCACAUAAGCUUUCAAGAGGUUGUUUGAUAAAGACAAAAAUUGAAACAUAAAUCUUGGCGAAGAAAGAAGUAAAAGAUAUUUGUUUACUUU
rnacentral:snRNA from 1 species